CAGGACUGCAGAAGGUCAGGGAUGUAGGUGAUGGCAGGAGCUGACGGCCCGGAGUGAGAGUCCAUUCAAGCCUGGAGGCUAGGAAGCAUAGGGCUGCUAGGCUAGUAGGCCUCAUAGCAACACCAGGGCACCGAGUGGAGCUUUUCCAGGGUGGCCAGGCAGGUUAGCAGCUCUCUGGAGACACCAGGACACAGAACAGAGCUUCUCCAGGGACAACAGUAGCGUACCAAGUCUUUUAAGGCAACAGGCAGGACUAACCUUCAAUGAAA